UACAGAGGUCUCAAGCGUUGUUCGGAUUCAUUGGGCGUAAAGGGUGCGUAGGCGGCGCGGUAAGUCGGGUGUGAAAUCUCGGAGCUUAACUCCGAAACUGCAUUCGAUACUGCCGUGCUUGAGGACUGGAGAGGAGACUGGAAUUUACGGUGUAGCGGUGAAAUGCGUAGAUAUCGUAAGGAAGACCAGUGGCGAAGGCAGCUCGCUGGGACGGUACUGACGCUGAGACGCGAAAGCGUGGGGAGCAAACAGG
rnacentral:rRNA from 1 species